rnacentral:rRNA from 1 species
UGACGACCGGCGCACGGGUGCGUAACGCGUAUGCAACCUACCUCUUACUGGGGAAUAGCCCGGAGAAAUCCGGAUUAAUGCCCCAUAGUAUUAUUUAAUCGCAUGAUUUGAAUAAUUAAAGGUUACGGUAAGAGAUGGGCAUGCGUCCUAUUAGCUAGAUGGUAAGGUAACGGCUUACCAUGGCAACGAUAGGUAGGGGGCCUGAGAGGGUGAUCCCCCACACUGGUACUGAGACACGGACCAG